UCGAUUCUCUUAUAUCUUAUUCCUUCUCAUCUCUCAGCCCAAAUCAUUUCUAAUUCACCUUCUUGCUCUCGAUCCCACCUCUUUCAUAAAAAAUAAAUAAAUAUUCGAUCUAUGUUUUCAAAUCGUUCAAAUGAAAACCUAGGUUUUUCAUCACUGCCUACUGCAUCUUUUGGAUGACUAUCUAUCAAAUUCAAAACCAAAACCUAACCCCUAGCCAUAGAUUUACUUUAAAUAGAUGUAACGUUUUUGAUGAACGGGUAGAUCUGGCUUAGAUUUACUAUCUUGUUUCUGAUUUUGGGUUGUAGCUGUUGAUAUUUAUGAAAGGGGAUAAUCUAAUUGAUGUAUUGGUGGUUCUAAAGCUUCAAUAGAUGUUCUGCAAUUAAUUGUGGUGGUUAUGGAUGUGAUGAUCUGUAUUCAGAGUUAUGGAGAGCUUGUGCUGGUCCUCUUGUUGAUGUUCUAAAAAUUAGUCAAAGGGUUUAUCACUUCCCUCAAGGUCAUAUGGAGCAAGUAAGACUCAUCAUCCCUAAACUGAUACGUAUUGAUCUUGGUUUUAUAGGUAGAAGCAUCAACAAAUGAAGAAUUAGUUCUUAGAGAAUUAUUGGCUGAACAAGAAACCGAUGAAGUGUAUGCAAGACUGACUUUGCAACCAGAAGAUGAUGAAUGGAAUCAAUCAAUCUCUCAUUGAAGUGUUUUCUUCUUUUGUUGUGUUUGAUUUACUUGUAAGCUUUUUGUUUGUUGUUUCUGUGUUUUCGUUGCAUUUUAGCCGAAUGAACCUAGUAGUCCUGAUCCAUGUACACAAGAACCACCAAGAGAGGGUGUUCAAUCUUUUUGCAAUAUUUUGACUGCUUCUGAUACUAGUACCGAUAGAGGGUUCUCCGUUCUUCGGAAACAUGCUAAUGAAAGUUUACCUCCGUGGUAAUACUUGUUUCAUUUCAUUUUCACUCUUAUGUUUCUGUUUUUUGUCUAGUCUGGAUCUAAUUCUGCGAGUUUUGUUUUCACGUUUUGUAGGAUAUGACCCAAGCGGCACCAACUCAGGAAUACAUCCUUUCCUUUUUACCAUGUUUUAAUGUGUCACCUAAUUAUUUCACAGGGUCCAGUAGGCUAAAGCCGCUAAAAUGCUACUGAUACAAGAGAUCCGCAUUGUCUUAGGGAGAGGGUAUCGCGGUCGAGAGCGAAGAAUGGGAAUUUGCAUGUUGGAGUAAGGCGUCAUGCUAUGAAAGGAAGCAAUAUGCCCUCACCUGAUUUACAUGCAAUCUGGAAUGUUUGUCUUGCUCCUGCAUUUGGACAUAAAGUUUUAUUUGAAAAAAUAUGAAGAACUUAUCGCUAUCCUUAACCUUCUUUCGAGACUGGUUCCCUUAAACACGGUAAUAUCAUUUACAUUAAGCUGAUUUGUACGUUACUAGAUGUCAUCAAAUUCUAUGCUGAACUCAGUUCCUUACUGGUUUGCACUUGCUCAAAGUUGUAUUGGUCCUACUGGAUCAUAUAUUCAUUAUUUCUGUUGAAAAGGGGAAUUCUAGAAGAUAAUCCUUGUGUUCAUUCUGCCUUUCGAUUCAAAAAAAAAAGAUUUAUGUCAUAAGCCACUUCUUCUUAGGUAAUUUCGAUUCAAAAGAUGAAGCCUUUUGCCUUGGUUCUAAUGGUACCUGUUAGAUGUUAUAUUUUUUUUUGUUUUGACAUAUAAUUAGGUAUCAUGUUUCUCACUUUUAUAAUUAACAUGAGAUAGGUGAUAGUUAUAGGUUCAUCUUCAUAUGAAGCUAAAGCACAAUAACUUGAGAUGAAACAGUCAUGUUUGCUUACAACAAAGCACUUGUAUACUUUGAACUUAUCUUGUUCUUCGUGUCUUCAUUAGAAAAGUUAAUGUAUUGUUUUUCUUGUGUUUACAUGAAAGUAUGCUCGACAAGUAACUGGCCAGCUCUCAUGGUUAAUACUUCUACAAGUCCAGGCUCACCAAUGGUUCCAUGUUUUAUUUUGGUUUGAACUGAAUUGUUUCAUUUUUUUGUUUGUAUUUUUUGGUAGUUUCUAUAUCAGAAUGUAUACUUUUCAGAUUUCUAUAAUAUGCAAUUUUUUUCACACUUGGAACCUGA